UAAAGUUCUUAAUCAUAGCCUAAACUGUCUCUCAAAGUGGUUCACAAAUUGGGAACAAACCUUUAUUUUAUCAGUUUGUAUGAUUAUUUUUCUCAACUCCCUUGGAAGUAUUGUUACUGCAGAAGCUGCCAUUCAGGGCUAACAGCAUAUUCUCAACUUUCUCAACUCCCUUGGGACAACGACUGGAGCAGAGCAGAGUAAGAAAAUAGCAAAUGAGCGAGAAAAACUGAGACCAAAUUCUACAGAAAGUAACAAUGAUUUGGAGCAGCAAUUACGUAUGCAGCAGAUUAUGCUGAGAAGACA